CCCUCUUGGGCAGCAGCUUCUCGUCUAUCAUCAUCUUCUUCCUCUGCAGCACCCAAUUCUUCUUCUCUUCUAGCUCGCUUGACCCCAAUAGAAACCCCAAACAACCUUGGAGUCAAAUCCUCACCAAGUUUCAGACCAAUCCCUGUCUCUAUUUCAGAAGCCAUAAUGGCUUCACUCAUCUCUUGUCUCUCCGGUAAAAGAUCUAAAGGUUUCCCUUCAGGUAACAAAUGCGCACAAUCUUCUUGACCCGGUGUGAAAUUCGCCAUUAAUGUGUAGAUAUUCGCAUACAAUCCUUUAAGCUUUGUCAUCUCUUUCCUCAAUCGCUCAUUAUCUUUCCUCAAUCGCUCAUUCU